GGGUGGCUCUUCAGUGGGGCAGCUAUGACUCUGCUCUAGCCCAGAGGUGAACCCCACAGAGCCAAAGAGCAGCUUUUUCAAGAGAAGAGAUGAUCUGCAUUUUUUAAAAAAGCCUUCCUCUGAGUUCCUGCUGAGCCUCAGACCACCAUGCUGCCUCCUGUUUCUCCCUGACAUCUGGGUGAUGGCUGCUGACUAACCUGCUCUUGUUCUAGAGGCCAAGGACAUGAAAGAGCUCACCCACGAAUUCAACCUUCAAAAUGAAGAUGUCUGAAUAGUCUGUGAUGAGGUGCAAGUAGGAAGAAACUGUGGCUCCCCCCACCCCUCAGCCAUAGUGGAACCCUGGUGGACAGCUGCCAGGAAUGCCUAGCUAGAAAAUGCAUCCUUCAGUUCCAGCCAUCUCAGUCGGCACUCCCAGCACAAAGAGCAACCAUCCUAAUGCUCCUACCAAUAUGUCGUGUUACACGCCAUUGGAAGAAUACCAAAUAUUGCUCUGUUUCUUGAUGACUGCCGUUGUAAGCCUCUCUCCCUGGCCAUAAAUUGGUGGCCAGAUUGAGUUCAGAAGAUAAAUAGAAUAGACCUUUCCAAAGGCCUCCAAUGUCUCCUAAAUUAGCUUCAUUUUCCAGCUGAUUUGGAUACACACAGAGGCACAUUGAAAACACAAUAGAAAACAGAUGCCAGUUUAGAAGCAGAAGAGCGAACCCAAUGUACAGCAAGAGAAGAUCAAACUGGACCAGCUCCCAGCAGAAGUGAGGCUGGGAAUAUUGGAUCCUGUAGCUUCUCUCCUCUGUGAAGUGUCAGGAGAUAUUGGCACAUGGUCUUGAGCUUGAUUUUCACUGCUUUUUUCCUAACCUUUUCCAAGCUACCUAACUCCCUGGAGUCUUAGUUUUCUUAUCUGUGAAUCGGGAGAUCAUAUGUUCUUCAUCCUGAGGUUGGUGUGAGGUGGAAUGAAAUAAUGUGUGCAAAGCACCAGGCAUGGUUUCUAGCAUAUAGUAGGUGCUCCAUACACGUGAACUAGCAUGAGUUAUGAACUCUAUUCCUUCUAGCUCCUGCAUGGUAUCUGGUCUCUGGUGCUCUGGGUUCCCUGAGACAUGGGAGAUUUCACCAAGCAGUAAGUUCACUUUUGUGCUUGGUGCCUCAACACUUAGGUUUGUUGAGCCACCUGCUCCCUUCUAGUCACAGAUUCCACACUCCAUUCAGAUGGAAUCUUGCUUCUGCUAGCUGUUGGUUCAUGACCACUUGAAUGUGAAAUGAUAAUGAUUUAUGAAUGCCACCCUUUCAGAUUGCAAUUGCAAUAUUAUAAGUUUUGUUUUAAUUUGUUUGGCAAUAGAAAGGCAUUGAGAACAAAAGGAAACUCUCUAAUGGUGGAAUAUAGAUAUUGGAGCACAUUUUUGUAGAGGGGAAGGAGGCUUUCAAGUUAGACCCUGCUACUGUUUUUAAAAUAGCUGCAACAUUGGAACAGGAGCAUAGCUGCUGAGUCUCUCUUCCCAUACUCUUCUCUUCCAUUCUGGGUAGAAUAGUAUCCUCCAAAGUUCAUGUCCACCUGGAAACUGUGAAUAUUGAAAACAGGGUCAUUGCAAAUAUGCUCAAGGUGGGAUGCGGUCAUCUUGGCUUAGGGUGCAUCCUGAAUCUACAUAAGAAGAGGGAAAUUUAGACACAGAGGCAAUCAAGCAAGUGAAAGCAGAGGCAGAGAGAAUGAGAUAUGUCUGCAAGUCAAAGAGCAACAUGGAUUACUGACAACCCUCAGGAGAUGGAAGAGGCAAGAAAAAAAUCUUCCUUAUAGCCUUUAGGAGGAACAUGGCCAACUUCUGACUUCAGACUCCUAGCCUCCAAAACUUUAAGAGAAUAAAAUUCUGUGGU